rnacentral:misc_RNA from 1 species
UUUGAGUGAAACGACUUU